ACGUAGGACGCAAGCGUUAUCCGGAAUUACUGGGCGUAAAGAGCGUGUAGGCGGUUCUGUAAGUCAACCGUGAAAGCUCCCGGCUAAACUGGGAGAGGUCGGAUGAGACUGCAGGGCUAGAGGGUCGUAGAGGGGUGUGGAAUUCCGGGUGUAGUGGUGAAAUGCGUAGAGAUCCGGAGGAACACCAGAGGCGAAGGCGGCACCCUGGACGACACCAGACGCUGAGACGCGACAGCACGGGGAGCGAACGGGAUUAGAAACCCCGGUAGUCCGUGCCGUAAACGAUGUGUACUAGAUGUUCGGUUGACUACGGUUGAUUGAGCGUCGCAGCAAACGCGAUAAGUACACCGCCUGGGGAGUACGGUCGCAAGGCUA
rnacentral:rRNA from 1 species